ACCAGCCCAACCCAAGGACCAACCGCAUGACAAAUACAAAAACAAAAAUGUUCACAUUGUUGCAUAUAUAGUAUUAAAAAAUAACAAAGCAGUUAUGAGUGUCAAAUAUAGAAGCACAUACGUCAAAAGCACAAUGUAUGUAGGACUUGCAGAAUCUGAUUCACAACUGGUAAAAAUAAAAACUUUAAAAAAAAAUAUAAGGAAAAUGAAUAUAAAAACUGCAAAGUUGAUAUCCAUUAAGACUAGUUGAACAAUAGUUUUUAAGAUGCAUUAAAGCGCAUAAGGUACUUGAGGCCUAGGCGCAAGCACGCACUAGAGCUUCAAAUUGCAAGCAAUGGUAAUUGAAUGCAAAAACAAUAAAAAAAUCAUAAUAACAAAUAAAUACAGCAAAGAAGUUAACUACUGAAACUCGUUCAAUGAAUCAUAUGUACAGUAAAUGCAAAGAAAUUACAAACACGCAAGUUAACCUCACGCCACAUUAAUUUGCCAUAAGCCAUGUAAACACAGGAGUGCAACAGAAACCAUCAUUAAACAUAGUCCAACACAAAAAUUAACAUUUCUUCCUCUUCAUACAUUUCUUUUAUACUGUAUUUGGUAGGGAGGAAGGAAAGUAAUCCAGUCAGUAAUAUGCGAUUGGUACAUUAAAUGGAGGAAAUAUAUCUUAAAUUACAGAGUCGGAAUACAUUUCUCCUCAUUCUCCUUUCCUUCCAAACACAGCCUUAAAGUAGCCCCUUGUCUAUAAUUUCUAACAAUUUGGUACUAAAUCACAAAAUCAUGUUGUGACAUUAACCUAGUCAAAGUUGGUACUAUACAAUUGUACUCACUGUAUCACCACAUAUGAUACCAUCCAAUGGUUGAGACCAAAUUUAAAGCAUGAAGUAAAAAUCUAGCAGUGCAAGCAUAACAAUAUAGUACAGC
rnacentral:misc_RNA from 1 species